UACGUAGGGUGCAAGCGUUGUCCGGAAUUAUCGGGCGUAAAGAGCUCGUAGGCGGUUUGUCGCGUCUGCUGUGAAAAUCCAGGGCUUAACCCUGGACCUGCAGUGGGUACGGGCAGACUAGAGUGCGGUAGGGGAGACUGGAAUUCCUGGUGUAGCGGUGAAAUGCGCAGAUAUCAGGAGGAACACCGGUGGCGAAGGCGGGUCUCUGGGCCGAUACUGACGCUGAGGAGCGAAAGCGUGGGGAGCGAACAGG
rnacentral:rRNA from 1 species